CCAAAUUCAUGCUCAUUUUCGAAAAUUACUACUAUUUUCUUUUUAUCAUCAAUAAUAAAUUCUUAGCAAAAUUUAUACAAAAUUCUUUACAUAAUUUAAUUAAAACUCUUAAACUAAUAUCAUUCAAAAAUUUCUACUGAAGUUACAAUUCAAUCAAAAACCCAAUUUCGUCCCCCGUACGCACUUCAAGCAAAAACUUCAAAGCAUAGAUCAUCUCUUCUUUGGUACCUAAAAUGUUAGUGUAAGGGUCAAUUUCCUUAUCCAAAUUGGUUCAUACUCAAAGCACAAGAACAAUGCCACAUAAUAGAUAGUAUCAAAACUUCUCAAUAAAAAAGAAAUAAGAAAAAUACAUUUAAGGCAGAUGUAUAACAGACCCAAUGCAAUGAUGUGCAAAAUGCAUGCUCUUAAAUACUACAUGAUCCGGAUAUAUCCCGCCACACAGGCACCACACAGAAAUAUAAUUGCAAUUCCUGCCACUAAGGCAUCCACAGAGAAUAUAAUUGUAAUUCCCGCCACUAAGGCACCACACAGAUGCAUAUGCCAUGCAUGAUCAUGAAAAUGCAGACUAAAACCCGCCACUAAGGCACAAUAAUGCAAUAUGAUGUUAUCCCGCCACUAAGGCACCACAAAGAAAUAUAUUAUUAACCAGCCACUAAGGCAAACUCAUAGACAAAUACAGUCAGAUAUUAACACAUCAUCAUCCACAUGGACCAAACUGAAAUAUUUUCGUAAAACUCGUAUUUUCAUUUAUUUAGUUUAUCAGCAAAGUCUAACACUUCUUUACAAUACCACAAAAACAUAUAUGAAUAGAAAAAUAAAAUAAAUGUCAUUCCACAUAACAUUAUCAUAGUACUUAGUAAGAAUGUAUGGGGAAAAGGCCCUUACCUCGUAAGCUUUCAUUCCUAGCCAAACACUAAACUACCUCAAACUCACAGCUACUGUUCAAACACGUUUUCUGUCACUCCAGGAAUUAUUUUGACGAUCGGACGAUGAACGAAGGCGUAGUCGCAGUUCUCCAAGGACAGGUUUAGUGAAAACGGAAAUGGCUUAGAAUUAGAAUUUCAUAGUGAGACAAGAAAUAAAAUGGAAGAACAUAUAUGCAAAAGGACUUGCACAAAAAUUAUUUAACAAGAUGAUAGCAUAGAGAUUGGUCGAUGGACUUGGGAAACAUGAGAAUGGACUAUAAGAAAAUGCUAUGACUUAUCUCUUUUCAAUCUUCCUGAUACAACAAUUAUGGACCCACGGCAGACAUUUGACUUAGUGAAGUAAACAAACUUUGUACGCUGGUUUUGCUUUGUGACUGAUAGAAGAUGAAGGAGAAUAAUUCAUUGUCUCAAAGAGAGGUAAGAGUGAUUAAAGUGAAAACUUGGAGGUUUGGUUCUGCUACUUCUCUUUCUUUGUAACUAGUGAUACAUGCAUAUGAUAUAUUAAUGCCGAUAUACUAAGGAGAAAUUAAGUGAGAAUAUAGUUAAGUUUGAGUCAUACAAUAAGUGUAUGGAUGGCGGUUACCACUUUAGAGGAAUUGGGAGAAAUAGCAGUGAAGUAAAUUCAUGCAGAGCAAAACUGAUGCAAAUGAAAUUUGAGAUGAAUGGCUCGUGUAAUUGAAUGAGUGAGAAAAACCAACUGAGGGUGAGGGAAUUGAAAUAUGUAGAGUAGCUAAUAUGUGCCUAGUUUUUAGGAACCAAAUAACCAAUUUCAUUGACCUAGCAAUUCACGGAACCAUAGUGGCAUAAGGGGAGAGAAAAAUAUGGUGGUAGUGGCAUCAAUUAGGCAAGGAUAAAAAAAAAACGUAUAGUAUAU
rnacentral:lncRNA from 1 species